UUCUUGGUCGUCCAUUGGUUCGCUCGCUUGCCACUUUCUCGCCAGCUUAUUUCCACAAAUGCCCGUUGGGUGUACGCCUCUGUCUCAGCUUUGUACCUAUUGGCUGCUGCCGUUGCCAAUCAAGUCUGCCAAGCUCGCCGUCCUCACCUAUGCGCAAUAUUUUUUUUAAAAAAACAGGCUAUGCAGUAUGGAAUGUCACUGGUCGAAGGAUGUCGGAAGAGAAGUGAACUUUGGCACUGGGUUUGAUUGGGCAGAUGUUAAAGGAAUAUAAUUUCUGUAUUAAGAUUAGCAAGUGUGGAUUGAUUCCUAACUCUACAAGCUUCUUCCACAAUAUCACAAGAUCAACUGAAUCAAAGGCACCACAAAAAUCUAUGAAAGCUUCAAAAAUAUUGGAUUGGUUUUGAAGUCUAUAUUUUUCAACCAAAUGUGCCAGAACAGAACAGAACUGAAGGGUUCAGCCAACCUGCUUAUAUAGAGCUCAACUACAAAGCAACAGUAACAACUUUCUAGUCUUGAAGUUGAUGCUGAGCACUGGUAGAGGAGAAUAACCAUUUACACCACCUUGGAGAAAAGUUGGGAUAUAAAUGCAACAAAACGGUACAAGGCUAAAGUUUUGGCACCGCUCUAAACAUUGGUUUCAUAGUGGUGAUAAAUAAACAAUUGAAAAAAUACAGAGGCAACACAUUUUACUAUCAGAGGACAAUAAAAAUCCUGGAAAAUAGUCUUUGAGUGGGCAAAAACAAGAGGAAGAGCCCAGCCGAGAACAUUGUGCUGUAAAACUACUGCAUUUACUGCUGCUAUUAGUGAAGCGAGCAUGGAAUCCACUUGACACAUGCAAGAAAGACACGUGUGCAUCAACUGAACAUUUCCAGAGCUCAAAAACCAAAGGUAAAAGGUGAGAUAAUAAUGUGAAAGUGUUGUCAGCUCCAGUAUCUUUCUGCAGUUACUGAUGUUAUUUUGUCAAGAUGUAUUUCACAGAUCAUUGACUUGAGCACAAAGCAGACGUAAUCUGUAAUCCAGGAGGAGAUCUAUCAGCUACUAUCACUGCAAAGAUAAAUCUCCCCCCCUACUCACAGUAACAAAAGAACAACAACAAAACAGAAAGAAUGGGGACUGAGGAAAAGCUGGUUGGAAAACAUCUAAUAAUGUUUGUAAGCAAAUCAUUGAACAUAUUGUUAUUUUUUACUGAAAUUCAAAUACA